rnacentral:lncRNA from 1 species
GGGUAAAUCAAGCCGUUGCUUCUAGGUAGAUUAUUAGUGGUAGCAGUUGGGUUAGGGAUGGUGGUGCUAACGGGGAGUUUCCUUUUGUUGACAUGUUAAUUUCAGUGCCCACAUUUACCAGGCUGAAACCCAGGGGAAGGAUUUAGCAGAUGAUAUUUAUCUCCUAGAAAUCACCACGAGACCUUCUCAGAAGUGUUUUGUAAGAAGAAGCCAAAAGACUGAACCCUUGAGUGAUAUACAGUCUAAGGAGCUUUAUGCUACUUCUUCCUUCAGCUUAUGGCUUUGAAAGGAAAAAACCUGCAACUUUGGGGGAAUGAUGUCAGCAGUGGGUCCUGAAUGGGCAGCCAGAGAUGGAGCCAGAUGGAAAGAUGCUCCACACUCCAUUCUUCUAUUCCAAAACCUGGACGACCAAGGAAGCAAGCAGUUCUUCUAUGAUGUCAGGUAUGAUGCUCACAUUAUUUGCAUGAUGGAAUUGUGAGUGAUUCUGAUAUAUUUGCCAAUAUUUAUUCUUUACUUUCAAAUUUAAAAAUCUAAAUAGCUUUAAGUAAAGAGUAUCUAUCUAUCGACAGAAGAUAAUCUCAAGUGCAGAGUGG